CCCAUGAUGCACUGCUGCACUCGCUGCCCCAGCCCUGCAGCAGGCCACCUCCGACCCACACCUCCGCUGGAGACCCCUGGACGCCCACGGGCAAGUCUGGUCAGCCUCUCGUGGGCUCACUGCUCCUUUCUCCUGGGUCUCGGUGCCCACAAGCUAUGUUUGAGCCCUCUGAGCGUCUCUGGGAAGAGUUCUUCAUUUCGUGACUAGCCUGAAAGCUCUUAACUGAGAGCGGCUGUGUUUCGCUGCAUCUCUCUGGGCUCGUCUAGUGACAAACGCGUGACCCUGCCGUCUCUGCAGCGUGCGCAGUCGCCGCCCCUCGGUCGUGUCCAAAGUCUCCUCUGUCCGUGAGAUUCUCCAGGCCAGGAUACUGGAGUGGGUUGCCAUUCCCUC
rnacentral:lncRNA from 1 species